rnacentral:rRNA from 1 species
GAUGAACGCUGGCGGCGUGCCUAAUACAUGCAAGUCGAGCGAACGGACGAGAAGCUUGCUUCUCUGAUGUUAGCGGCGGACGGGUGAGUAACACGUGGAUAACCUACAUAUAAGACUGGGAUAACUUCGGGAAACCGGAGCUAAUACCGGAUAAUAGUUUGAACCGAAUGGUUCAAAAGUGAAAGACGGUCUUGCUGUCACUUAUAGAUGGAUCCGCGCUGCAUUAGCUAGUUGGUAAGGUAACGGCUUACCAAGGCAACGAUGCAUAGCCGACCUGAGAGGGUGAUCGGCCACACUGGAACUGAGACACGGUCCAGACUCCUACGGGAGGCAGCAGUAGGGAAUCUUCCGCAAUGGGCGAAAGCCUGACGGAGCAACGCCGCGUGAGUGAUGAAGGUCUUCGGAUCGUAAAACUCUGUUAUUAGGGAAGAACAUAUGUGUAAGUAACUGUGCACGUCUUGACGGUACCUAAUCAGAAAGCCACGGCUAACUACGUG